rnacentral:rRNA from 1 species
ACCAACAGGGAUUACCUCAGUAACGGCGAGUGAAGCGGUAACAGCUCAAAUUUGAAAGCUAGCUCUUUUAGGGUUCGCAUUGUAAUUUGUAGAAGAUGCUUCGGGUGUGGCCCCGGUCUAAGUUCCUUGGAACAGGACGUCAUAGAGGGUGAGAAUCCCGUAUGUGACUGGGUGCUUUCGCUCAUGUGAAGCUCUUUCGACGAGUCGAGUUGUUUGGGAAUGCAGCUCAAAAUGGGUGGUAAAUUUCAUCUAAAGCUAAAUAUUGGCCAGAGACCGAUAGCGCACAAGUAGAGUGAUCGAAAGAUGAAAAGCACUUUGGAAAGAGAGUUAAACAGUACGUGAAAUUGUUGAAAGGGAAGCGCUUGCAACCAGACUUGCGCGCUGAUGAUCAUCCGGGCUUCUGUCCGGUGCACUCGUCUGCGCUCAGGCCAGCAUCGGUUUCGGUGGUGGGAUAAAGGCCUUGGGAAUGUAGCUUCUUUCGGGGAGUGUUAUAGCCCUCGGUGCAAUGCCGCCUACCGGGACCGAGGACCGCGCUUCGGCUAGGAUGCUGGCGUAAUGGUUGUAAGCGACCCGUCUUGAAACACGGACCAAGGAGUCUAACAUCUAUGCGAGUGUUUGGGUGUCAAACCCAUACGCGUAAUGAAAGUGAACGGAGGUGAGAACCCUUAAGGGUGCAUCAUCGACCGAUCCUGAUGUCUUCGGAUGGAUUUGAGUAAGAGCAUAGCUGUUGGGACCCGAAAGAUGGUGAACUAUGCGUGAAUAGGGUGAAGCCAGAGGAAACUCUGGUGGAGGCUCGCAGCGGUUCUGACGUGCAAAUCGAUCGUCAAAUUUGCGUAUAGGGGCGAAAGACUAAUCGAACCAUC